rnacentral:rRNA from 1 species
GUUGUAUGGUUAAGUGACUAAGCGUACACGGUGGAUGCCUUGGCAGUUGGAGGCGAUGAAGGACGUACUAACUUGCGAUAAGCCUAGUCAAGCCAGUAAGAGGCGCUUGAGACUAGGAUUUCCGAAUGGGGAAACCCACCUGCUUGCAGGUAUCGUUAACUGAAUACAUAGGUUAACGAGGCGAACGCGGAGAACUGAAACAUCUAAGUAUCCGUAGGAAAAGAAAUCAACCGAGAUUCCGAAAGUAGCGGCGAGCGAAAUCGGACCAGCCCUUAAGCUUUAGUGUAGUUAGUGGAACAUGUUGGAAAGCAUGACGAAACAGGGUGAUAGUCCCGUACACAAAAACUUAUCUAAAGUGAAAUCGAGUAGGUCGGAGCACGUGAAACUUUGACUGAAUAUGGGGGGACCAUCCUCCAAGGCUAAAUACUCCCAACUGACCGAUAGUGAACCAGUACCGUGAGGGAAAGGCGAAAAGAACCCCUGUGAGGGGAGUGAAAUAGAACCUGAAACCGUGUACGUACAAGCAGUAGGAGCCUACUUGUUGGGUGACUGCGUACCUUUUGUAUAAUGGGUCAGCGACUUAUAUUCUGUAGCGAGGUUAACCAUUUAGGGGAGCCGUAGCGAAAGCGAGUCUUAACUGGGCGCUUAAGUUGCAGGGUAUAGACCCGAAACCCGGUGAUCUAGCCAUGGGCAGGUUGAAGGUUGAGUAACAUCAACUGGAGGACCGAACCCACUAACGUUGAAAAGUUAGGGGAUGACCUGUGGCUAGGAGUGAAAGGCUAAUCAAACCGGGAGAUAGCUGGUUCUCCCCGAAAUCUAUUUAGGUAGAGCCUCGGACGAAUACUUACGGGGGUAGAGCACUGUUAAGGCUAGGGGGUCAUCCCGACUUACCAACCCUUUGCAAACUCCGAAUACCGUAAAGUAAUAUCCGGGAGACACACGGCGGGUGCUAACGUCCGUCGUGGAGAGGGAAACAACCCAGACCGUCAGCUAAGGUCCCAAAGUGUAUGUUAAGUGGGAAACGAUGUGGGAAGGCUAAAACAGCUAGGAGGUUGGCUUAGAAGCAGCCACCCUUUAAAGAAAGCGUAAUAGCUCACUAGUCGAGUCGGCCUGCGCGGAAGAUGUAACGGGGCUAAACAUACCACCGAAGCUACGGCUGCGUACGUAAGUAUGCGGGGUAGGGGAGCGUUCUGUAAGUGGCUGAAGGUGUGCCGGGAGGCAUGCUGGACAUAUCAGAAGUGCGAAUGCUGACAUGAGUAACGACAAGAGGAGUGAAAAACUCCUCCGCCGGAAGACCAAGGGUUCCUAUCCCAUGUUAAUCAGGGUAGGGUGAGUCGACCCCUAAGGCGAGGCUGAAGAGCGUAGUCGAUGGGAAACGGGUUAAUAUUCCCGUACUCGGUAUGAAUGCGAUGGGGGGACGGAGCAGGCUAGGCAAGCAUGGCGUUGGUUGUCCAUGUGAAAGGCUGUAGGCUGGUGACUUAGGAAAAUCCGGGUUGCUAAGGCUGAGAGUCGAGACGAGCCACUAAGGUGGUGAAGUUGUUGAUGCCCUACUUCCAGGAAAAGCCUCUAAGCUUCAGUUCAUACUGAAUCGUACCCUAAACCGACACAGGUGGUCAGGUAGAGAAUACUAAGGCGCUUGAGAGAACUCGGGUGAAGGAACUAGGCAAAAUUGUACCGUAACUUCGGGAGAAGGUACGCUCUUGUUUGUGAAGGACUUGCUCUGUAAGCAAACGAGAGCCGCAGUGACCAGGUGGCUGGGACUGUUUAUUAAAAACACAGCACUGUGCAAAAUCGUAAGAUGACGUAUACGGUGUGACACCUGCCCGGUGCCGGAAGGUUAAUUGAUGGGGUUAGCUUAGGCGAAGCUCUUGAUCGAAGCCCCGGUAAACGGCGGCCGUAACUAUAACGGUCCUAAGGUAGCGAAAUUCCUUGUCGGGUAAGUUCCGACCUGCACGAAUGGUGUAACCAUGGCCACGCUGUCUCCACCCGAGACUCAGUGAAAUUGAAAUCGCAGUGAAGAUGCUGUGUACCCGCGGCUAGACGGAAAGACCCCGUGAACCUUUACUACAGCUUGGCACUGAACAUUGACCCUACAUGUGUAGGAUAGGUGGGAGGCUUUGAAGCAGAGACGCUAGUUUCUGUGGAGCCGACCUUGAAAUACCACCCUUGUAGUGUUGAUGUUCUAACUUAGGCCCCUGAAUCGGGGUUGAGGACAGUGCCUGGUGGGUAGUUUGACUGGGGCGGUCUCCUCCCAAAGAGUAACGGAGGAGCACGAAGGUUUGCUAAGUACGGUCGGACAUCGUACGGUUAGUGUAAUGGUAGAAGCAAGCUUAACUGCGAGACAGACACGUCGAGCAGGUACGAAAGUAGGUCAUAGUGAUCCGGUGGUUCUGAAUGGAAGGGCCAUCGCUCAACGGAUAAAAGGUACUCCGGGGAUAACAGGCUGAUACCGCCCAAGAGUUCAUAUCGACGGCGGUGUUUGGCACCUCGAUGUCGGCUCAUCACAUCCUGGGGCUGAAGUCGGUCCCAAGGGUAUGGCUGUUCGCCAUUUAAAGUGGUACGCGAGCUGGGUUUAGAACGUCGUGAGACAGUUCGGUCCCUAUCUGCCGUGGGCGUUUGAGAAUUGAGAGGGGCUGCUCCUAGUACGAGAGGACCGGAGUGGACGAACCGCUGGUGUUCGGGUUGUGAUGCCAAUUGCAUUGCCCGGUAGCUACGUUCGGAACUGAUAACCGCUGAAAGCAUCUAAGCGGGAAGCAGGCCUCGAGAUGAGUUCUCACUUUGACUUAGAGUCAACUGAAGGGCCGUUGAAGACUACAACGUUGAUAGGCGAGAUGUGGAAGUGCUGUGAGGCAUUAAGCUAACUCGUACUAAUUACCCGUGAGGCUUAACCAUACAACGCCAAAGUGGUUU